AUUGCACGCUGGCGGCAGGCCUAACACAUGCAAGUCGAACGAGUGGCGGACGGGUGAGUAAUGUCUGGGAAACUGCCUGAUGGAGGGGGAUAACUACUGGAAACGGUAGCUAAUACCGCAUACCAUCAGAUGUGCCCAGAUGGGAUUAGCUCGUUGGUGGGGUAACGGCUCACCAAGGCCACGAUCCCUAGCGGGUCUGCUAGGAUGACCAGCCACACUGGAACUGAGACACGGUGCAGACUCCUACGUGAGGCAGCAGUGGGAAAUAUUGCACAAUGGGCGCAAGCCUGAUGCAGCCAUGCCGCGUGUAUGAAGAAGGCCUUCGGGGUGUAAAGUACUGUCAGCGGGGAGGCGUUACCCGCAGAAGAAGCACCGGCUAACUCCGUGCCAGCAGCCGCGGUAAUUC
rnacentral:rRNA from 1 species